UUGACUUCUCGGCCUUCUGGCUAAGAUCAAGCGUAGUAUCUGUUCUUAUCAGUUUAAUAUCUGAUAUGUCCUUUAUAUGAGGGCUACAUAAUAAACAGAUUUUUGACAGUGGGAGUCGGGAGAGGGGCUUGCUCCAUCCGCUCCACACAUCAGCUCGGUUUUGCAGUGAUUUAUUAAUUGCUAGAGACUCA